UACGUAGGGUCCGAGCGUUGUCCGGAGUGACUGGGCGUAAAGCGCGCGCAGGCGGCCUGCGAGGUGUCACGUGAAAGCCCCGUGCUCAACGCGGGAGGGUCGUGGCAAACCGGCAGGCUUGGGGCCGGUAGAGGUGGGUGGAACUCCUGGUGGAGUGGUGAAAUGCGUAGAGAUCAGGAAGAACACCCGUGGCGAAGGCGGCCCACUGGGCCGGACCUGACGCUGAGGCGCGAAGGCGUGGGGGGCGAACGGG
rnacentral:rRNA from 1 species